GGGCCCGCACAAGCGGUGGAGCAUGUGGUUUAAUUCGACGCAACGCGAAGAACCUUACCCAGGCUUGACAUGCAUCGGACUGGUGUGGAAACACACCUUUCCUUCGGGACCGAUGCACAGGUGCUGCAUGGCUGUCGUCAGCUCGUGUCGUGAGAUGUUGGGUUAAGUCCCGCAACGAGCGCAACCCUUGUCCUUAGUUGCUAACGGAUAACGCCGAGCACUCUAAGGAGACUGCCGGUGGUAAACCGGAGGAAGGUGGGGAUGACGUCAAGUCCUCAUGGCCCUUACGCCUGGGGCUACACACGUGCUACAAUGGCCGGCACAAAGGGUUCCGAUACCGCGAGGUGGAGGUAAUCCCAAAAAACCGGUCUCAGUUCGGAUUGCAGUCUGCAACUCGACUGCAUGAAGUUGGAAUCGCUAGUAAUCGCUGAUCAGCAGGCAGCGGUGAAUACGUUCCCGGGCCUU
rnacentral:rRNA from 1 species